UGGUUAAGUGACAAAUCUGCAGCAGACUUCACCAUUUGGUUUCACAAUCUGUGCUCUUAUAAUACCAUGCAACCAGACCCAAAGCAAAGUUUUUGGAAAGGCUUCCUAGGGAAAAAGAGUGGAAUUUUCAAAUAUUAUAACUGAGACUAUUCUUAAUUUCUGUUUUGCCAAGCAUAAAAUGUUUUUAUAAUGACACUGAAGUAAUUAAAAGCAUAACUUGUACAGAAGUAUCACUUAAAACAAAUUUAUUCCAAAAUUUUGAGAAGUUUAGGUUCUAGAAUUAACAAUCCUAGACAUUUCAUUUAGCAUUUGAUCAUAUUAAUGCCAAGUUUGUCUUCUACUUUGAUUCCUAAUAUAUUAUGGAGAAUAGAAGAAUAAUAAAAGAAAAAUA
rnacentral:lncRNA from 1 species